UUGCGUCUUGUGCUGUACGUGCUUGUGCUGUACGUCCUUGUGUGUGUGUGUUUUUUUUUAUUGCCCAAGGAGGGACGUGUUGUCUCCCAGGUCCGGCUCCAGUCAGUACUGCAGUGGAUUAGUCAGCUGCAUUUAGUGCAGAGGCAGAGCAGCAGCUUCGGGGCCGGCGUGCGAGUGUCUGAUCUUCAAGAUGCAGCGCAUCUACAUGCACAGCAAUGAACACUUUGAAGUCUUCACCACUGUCCUUGCUCCUCAAGGUGAGUGGUUGUCAUAUCUGCAGUGAAGGGAAGCUUAGCGCGACCUUAUUUUUCAUUGUUAGUGAGGACAAGAUCACAUCAAUGUCAGAUGACUAACAGCUAAUGUGAUGGAUUGUUGGUUUUCUCUCCUGGUGAUUCAUUUACAGGACAUGGUUGUAUACUCAUGUGGCUGCAUUCAUGUAAAAGAAUUUAUUUUUUGCAUAUAAAAACUUAUUUUUUUGCUGAUUCAUUUCCGUCCAUUGGUUAACAGGGAGGCAUCGGUACAGGGCAGAAGCGGAGACGGCAAGUUAAACUUUCUCCCCUUUUCAGAUACCCAUCAGACAUGCAUUGAUACAAAUGUGUCAUCAAGUAUGUUAGUUGAAUACUAUGCGUCUGUCUUAAACAGCAGGAAUAUAAUCCAAACCAUACUAUUUAGUAUUUGUGUACAUUUUAAAUACACUGCAGAUUGAUUAAAUGGAGUUUGACAUUGACGUUAUGUAAAGUCGGCCAAUUUCCUCCGGUUCUAUUAUGAGAUUUGAAUCAUCUUGUUCUCCUGAAAAACACGGGCGACAUUCAGGAGGAACAUGUAAUGAAGAGUAGAUCCAGAUUUAGGGUCUAUUUCACACUGCACACUACUUAAUCUUUAAAUCUUGACACAUAAUCCUCUCCAAUCACUGCGUCUAACCUUGAGACUGCAGAGAAAACAAACACACACAGACUUGUGCUUUGUAAUCAAUACAACAAAAAAGAACAAUUGCACCUCGUUUAAAUUCACCUCAAAAUCACAAUUCACAGUAAAAAUAAAAAGAAAGAAAAUAAGCUGAGGUUCCGUAACUCUCUCUGUCUGACCACUAGAUGGUAGUAGUGCACAGCUACCGGCCAAACUGGCCCGACGAGCUGGAGCUGUCUCUGGGUGACGUCAUCCUGGUGCUGCCCAAGCGCGAGGAGGAGAGGUGGUACGGGCGGCUGCAGGGCGGCCAGCAGGGAUACUUCCCCGCCUCCUGUGUGAUGGAGCUGAGCCAGGUUGGUUGGCCUCGUGCCGGAUGUGCUCAGCAAUGUGCGCGCGCUGCCGUUUAAUGUCUUCUUAUCGAUAAAGAAAAUAGCGGUGAUGACGUCACAGCAAUGUCAUCAAGCUCUAUUUUAGCCUAAACAAUAGGAAACUAAAAGCCUAAAUUACAUGCGGUUGCGUUUCAAAUAAGUGGGCAUUUACAGCAGGGAGAGUGCAAUGAAAACAGGUAUUGCGUUGCAUUGUGGGAAGUGUAGUACCAUUUGAGCUGGAGUUCUCCAUCUUCAAGAGAGGACGCCAGAGGAAGUCUAAAGUUUAUUUCAUGACAUCUGUUGGACAUUUCUUCAGGCGGAACCUUCCUUCCCAAAGCCCUACGGAGGUCUUUGUCUCUGAGGGGCUCGGCGAGGCGACGACCUCAGGUGUCCGCCGCCGGAAUGGACACAUUGGGCAGGCCCUGCGGAGGGGAAGCAGAGGAGUUGGAGGAGGAACGGUGCUGGACGGGGGCCAAGGUGAGAACGAGGGCCCCUUACCGGCGAGGAGGCCCCGGAUCACUGCGCCGCAGCCCGUGGCCUCCCAACCUGCGACACACAGAUCCCCGAGUCUGCUCCACAGGAUCUUGUCCAAAUGCCGGAAAAAGAGUGAAUGCCGGGGCGCCACCAACGGGGCCUUCGAGGGCGACUAAGAGGCCCCCCUCUUUGUUCACUUCGGUGGGGCUGCGUUGUAUGUUGAAUGUGGGUGAACGGAGGAAUAUCUAAAGUGUGAAAAUACAGGAUCUUAUAUAUCGUCAUGUGGGCCCAUAUUCAUUUCCACUCCAGGUCUUCAGGACUUGGCUGCAUCAGUAGAAGCGAGAGGAUGAAUUGUGAGUGUAUGAACUUAAAUCGAUGAUGUCACACAGGGGGUUUUGCAUUGGUCUUGUGUGACAAGUGUAACAAGGUUUAAUGUACAGAGAGCUGAGCAGCUGCUGUUUUCUUCCCUAUGUUUUCAUCGUGACAAGAUCAAAUGCAGGUUUUAAGUUCAUAAUGGAAAUAUUACUAUAUAUAUAUAUAUAUAUAUAUAUAUAUACACCAAUUAUGGUAAUAAUAACAAAAUAAUCUUAUGACAAAAUAAGAAUUAGUGUCAGUCAAUGAAGCAACGAGAUAUUUAACCGAUCAAAUGUAGCCUUAAGAGGAAUGUUAUUAAUAUUGUCUGUGCACAUUCUGUUCGAUUAUGCAUAUUUAUAUUUAUAUACUAUGUCUGCUCAUUUCUAAACUGUUGAUAUCUGUAUAUUUUCCUGCUUAACAUCAAAUCAUUUUAUAAGUAUAAAACCCACAGACCCUCACAGACUAAGAUCUUUUCAUUUCAGUGUACAUGCCUCAGUAUAUUACCUCAUAAAUUGGCCUCUUUUCUUUUUUCUUCAACCACCCUCGGCCCCG
ensembl:lncRNA